rnacentral:ncRNA from 1 species
UGACCUGAACUCAGUCGAGAGCACCCGCUGAACUUAAGCAUAUCAGUAAGCGGAGGAAAAGAAACUAAACAGGAUUCCCUCAGUAACGGCGAGUGAACUGGGAAAUGUCCAUCGCUUAAUCAUUUUGCCUCAGGCAUUAUGAGGUGUAGCGUAUAAGCCGUGAUCUUUGAUCAGUUGUCUCAAACAAGUCCCCUUGACAGGGGUUCCAAAGAAGGUGCAAGUCCUGUACAUUGAGAUUACUGGUUGAUAUUUGCGUGCUUUAGAGUCGGGUUGCUUGGGAUCGCAGCCCAAAGUCGGUGGUAAACUUCAUCUAAGACUUAAUAUUGCCACGAGUCCGAUAGCAAACAAGUACUGUGAAGGAAAGUUGCAAAGCACUUUGAAGAGAGAGUUAAAGAGGACGUGAAACCGGUGAGGUGGAAACGGAUAGAGUCGGCGUAUCUUGCAAGUAUUCAUUUACAUUAUUUUUGUGUUGUGAUCUCUGAGCUCCAGAUUGGGACAGAGGAAAGCAGCAUGAUUUUUUGUGAUGCAUUUGCUUGCUUGGUGCGUGGGGAUAUUUGAGGUGGAUUUGUGACCGCUAUUUUGAGGCCAGCUUGCUGGUACCCAAAUGGUGUUAACAUUUUUUGCUUUGGAUAUUUGAGUAUGGCUUACGGGCAUUUAUUGGUUCGAUCUGAGUGUAAGUUACGGUCGCAUGCGACACGUGCUUUUCAAUUAGUUCGGUCCAGUUAAUGCUCUCGUACUCUUUCCCCAUGUAAAAGCCGGUCAUCUAUCCGACCCGUCUUGAAACACGGACCAAGGAGUUUAUCGUGUGCGCAAGUUUUUGGGUGUUAAAAACCUAAAAGCGAAAUGAAAGUAAAUGAUUCUUUAGAGUCUGAUGUGCGAUCUUUUUUCAAAAAAGUGCAGCAUGGCCCCAUUCUAACUGUUUACAGUAGGGUGGCGGAAGAGCGUACGCGGUGAGACCCGAAAGAUGGUGAACUAUUCCUGAGCAGGACGAAGCCAGAGGAAACUCUGGUGGAAGUCCGAAGCGGUUCUGACGUGCAAAUCGAUCGUCUGACUUGGGUAUAGGGGCGAAAGACUAAUCGAACCAUCUAGUAGCUGGUUCCCUCUGAA